rnacentral:rRNA from 1 species
GUGAGGAAUAUUGCGCAAUGGGCGAAAGCCUGACGCAGCAACGCCGCGUGGGUGAUGAAGGCCUUCGGGUCGUAAAGCCCUUUUCCAAGGGAAGAGUAAGGACGGUACCUUGGGAAUAAGCCACGGCUAACUACGUGCCAGCAGCCGCGGUAAAACGUAGGUGGCGAGCGUUAUUCGGAUUUACUGGGCGUAAAGCGCGUGCAGGCGGUUUCGCAAGUCGGACGUUAAAUCUCCCGGCUCAACUGGGAGGCGUCGUUCGAAACUGCGAGACUCGAGGUCGGGAGAGGGGAGCGGAAUUCCCGGUGUAGUGGUGGAAUGCGUAGAUAUCGGGAGGAACACCUGUGGCGAAAGCGGCUCCCUGGCCCGCACCUGACGCUAAGACGCGAAAGCGUGGGGAGCGAACAGGAUUAGAAACCCUUGUAGUCC